AGGCAGUGUCUUCCUGGCGGGUGCUCCGGGACGCUUCCUGGGCUGAGCGGGGAGCUGUCGUGGUGGAGAAGCUCCCUGAGACUCAGCUUCUAGAAAGUUCACGAAAAGCUCCGAGAAGGAACUCUUGAGCUCGGGUUGCUGGUUGGGUCUCCGAGGAGGAGGCGUGUCGGGGGCACUGCGGGAUCCGAGCCGCCCGGUCACCCAUCCGGGUGCUCACUAAGUCGGUCCACUUCUUUUGGACGUCCUCCAGCACUUCCCGUCGGGCCUCGUCUUGUCGCUGCAGUCCUCCGAUCUGCUCCUCCUGCAGGCGCGAGGCGGCUUGCGCUCUCUCCAGCCGUCCCUGCAGCGACCUCAGCUUCCCUUCCAGGCCGUCUGCCUUUUGCAUCCAUUCGGCCAGGACCACCUUCAGGUUGGCCAGGGCUCCGGCCUGCUGCUUCUCUGCUUCCCGGGAGGCGGACAGCUGGAGGGCAGUCUCCUCUUUCUGCUGGGUGACCGCAGUCAGUUGUUCCUGCAGGGACCCGACCCGGGCAGCGGCCCGCUGGCUCGCCUUCUGCAUGGCGUGGGAAGAUGACAGGAGCCUCUCCUCUAGCGCCGUGACUUUCCUCCUGAGUUGAGCCGCUCUGUCUUCUGCCAGCCGCGCUGCCCGGAGAUGCCAGUCUUCGCAUUCUGAAGCCUGCGUCCGAGACCUCCCCAGCUCCUGGCCUAAGCGCGCUCCCUUGUCGCGCAAAAGGCGAACCUCCUCCCGCAGGGCGCACUUUUCCACUCGUUCCUGUCUCAGCGCCAGCGCGGCCUCAUCUCUCUCGUGCUGAAAGACAAUGCUCUUUUUCCUGCAUGGAGGUCACUGCAUUGAGAAGCUGGCUCAAUUCCCAGCCCGGCCCUCUUCCUUUAUCUCUCAGGAGGCACUCAAAAGCCAGAGCCUUCUUCUUCAGAGAGACGCAUUCGAAAUUCCUUCUCCCUCAGCAUCGUAGAGAGGCGCCUGUUCGUCUCUUGUAAGGCUUGGUUUUCGGUGUCCUUCUCCCUGGACCUUUCCAGCAGUUUUGCAUUCUCCCGUUUGACUUGGCACGCAUCCGCUUCCAGAUGGACUAUCCUCUCCUUCAGGUUUGUCACCGCCUGCCUCAACAGUUCGUUUUCGCUCGCUUGGGUCGUGAGGGUUUCCCUCAGAGAAAGGAAUUCCUCCCUCUGCGCCUCGAUUAAGAGCUCUCUGUCCUCCAGCGUGUUCUGUAAAGCCUCCUGUUUCUCCUUGAGCCGCUGAAUUUCGGAAUCCGUCUGUGCGUGCCGUUCUCUCUCCCGUUCCGAGGUGGCGGCCAUCGCCUCGGACAGUCUCUGAGUCUCCUCCUGGAGGCUUCUGAUGGCUGCGUCUUUUUCCUCCGUGGCUCGCCUUAAGGCUUCCACCUCUGCUGGCGGCCCUUUCGAAGACUCGCCCGGCGCCUCGGACUUAAUUGCCUCCUGAGAGCCGGCCGCCUCGCAAGUCCGCGACGAUGCGGCGGGCGGCUGUGGUGACGUGAGGGCGGGUGGACCCAAGAGAACCUCCUUGGCAUUGCAGAGCUGCUCUAGGCCGAGCUGCAUCUGUGCCAGUCUCUUCCCCAAGAGCCGGAGUUGGGUCGCAUCCCCUCG
rnacentral:lncRNA from 1 species